CACCUUCGGGUGUGAGUAGAGUGGCGCACGGGUGAGUAACGCGUGGGAACCUACCAAGCAGUGGGGAAUAACCUUUGGAAACGAAGGCUAAUACCGCAUACGCCCUUCGGGGGAAAGAUUUAUCGCUGUUUGAUGGUCCCGCGUCUGAUUAGCUAGUUGGUAAGGUAACGGCUUACCAAGGCGACGAUCAGUAGCUGGUCUGAGAGGAUGAUCAGCCACACUGGGACUGAGACACGGCCCAG
rnacentral:rRNA from 1 species